GACGAACGCUGGCGGCGUGCCUAAUACAUGCAAGUCGAGCGAUGAAGAGUGGUGCUUGCACCUAUUUGAAGAGCAGCGCACGGGUGAGUAACGCGUGGGGAAACUGCCUUGGAGCGGGGGACAACAUUCGGAAAAGAAUGCUAAUACCGCAUAACAACUUUAAACAUAAGUUUUAAGUUUGAAAGAUGCAAUUGCAUCACUCAAAGAUGAUCCCGCGUUGUAUUAGCUAGUUGGUGGGGUAAAGGCACACCAAGGCGAUGAUAAAUAGCCGACCUGAGAGGAGGACCAGCCACACGGGAACUGGGCCACGGCCAAAACUCUUCGGGGAGGCGCAGGAGGGGAACAUUGGCCAAUGAGGGAAAGCUUGACGAAGAACGCCGGCGUGUAUGAGGAGGUUCUUGGGUUUUUAAAGUCUGUUGGUAGGGAAGGAAGGUGGUGAGGGUGAAACGCUCAUUCAGUGACGGUAACUACAGAGAAAGCGACGGCUAACUACGUG
rnacentral:rRNA from 1 species